rnacentral:lncRNA from 1 species
UCUCUACCUCCCCACAAUCGCUCUAUCUCUCUCUCUUUCACAGAUCGAAAGUAGGAACGGAUCCAUGGUAAAUAGCAUCAAAAAGGAGGACGGGGCCGAUCUCACUGUGGGCUGUCACCGCUAACUAAAUUUUAACAUUAUUACGGUAGAACACUGCGCCCCUUGACGGGCUUCCAGUGUAUAACCGCAAUUUCCUCCGUAAGGAACCGAA